rnacentral:rRNA from 1 species
AUCAACUUUCGAUUUGGUAGGAUAGAGGCCUACCAUGGUGGUAACAGGUAAUAGGGUAUUAGGGUACUACACUGAAAAGGGAGUCUGAGAAACGGCUACUACAUCCAAGAAAGGUAGCAGGCGCGCAAAUUACCCAAUUCUGACACAGGAAGGUAGUGACAAUAUAUAAUAAUACAGAUUUCUUUUGGAUCUUGUAAUUGGAAUGAGUAUAAUUUAAAUCUCUUAACGAGGAAUAAUUAGAAGGCAAGUCUGAUGCCAGCAGCCAUAGUAAUUCCAGUUCCAAUAGUAUAUAUUAAAGUUGUUGCAGUUAAAAAGCUCAUAGUUGAAUUUUGGAAUCAAUAUUUCAGUCAUGCCAUUGGUAUGCACUGUUAUCAUUAAUUUUUCACCUUCUAAAGAACCGUAAUAUCAUUAAUUUGGUAUUACAGUGAAUUAGGACUGUUAUCUUGGAAAAAUUAGAGUGUUUAAAGUAGACUUACACUUGAAUACAUUAGCAUGGAAUAAUGAAAUAGGACAUCCGAUUCUAUUUUGUUGGUUUCUAGGAUUGAUGUAAUGAUUAAUAGGGAUAGUUGGGAGUAUUAGUAUUCAAUUGUCAGAGGUGAAAUUCUUGGAUUUAUUGAAGAUUAACUACUGCAAAAGUAUUUGUUAAGGAUGUUUUCAUUAAUCAAGAAUGAAAGUUAGGGAGAUCGAAGACGAUCAGAUACCGUCGUAGUCUUAACCAUAAACUAUGCUGACUAGGGAUCAGAUGAUGUUAAUUUUUUAAUGACUCAUUCGGCGCCUUACGGGAAACCAAAGUGUUUGGGUUC